CCUAGUUUUCAUCCCCAAGGGCAGGUUACUGUGGUCAGAGGUACUUUAAGAACUAGCCUGUGUAUUAUCUCGAUCUGUUACUCCUGCUCUUUUACCUUACUUUUGCAAAAAAUCUUCUUAAACUGAGAAGGAGCACAAUGGAAAAGGACGCUGAAAAAUCAUAGGUUUUGUGUUAUGGAAAGAUCCCUGUGAACGCCAUCAAAACUUCUUGAUUUCAGAAGUUUCUUGAAGAUAUACGUCUCUCAAAAGCAAGGUGGAGAAUGAAGAAAAUCCUGAACCCGGUGACCUUGCAGCCUCCGAGGAAUGCGCAUGCAUGACGCAUCCUGCAUUCUGAUACUGCGAAGUUCAGUGCCCUCCAUGUAAAUCUCUGCUUAAAAUACAGCAGCGUCGUUAGUUGGUAUGACUGAUGAAACGUUGCAAAGCCAGAAUGAAUCACAACAAGGUAACUGCUCUCCUUGAAGGCUAAAAAGUGCCAAACUGAGAAUGUAGGACGGAAAAGUGAUGUGGAAGACGAGGAGACUUGUGAAACACUCAGCAAGAAGAGAGGUGACUUUGGUGGGGCCUGGGAAAAAACGUCUGACCAAGAAGACCAAUGCUGAAGGGAAGAUGGGAACUCUUCAAGCCCUGACUUCCAUAAAUUACCAUGCUGGUAUUCACUAAGCAAAAUUUCAGAUUUGAGACUUUCUGUCAAAUUGCCAGCACUAGUACCUGGAACCAUAAUUUCAGACAUGUAUGACAUUUGGUAGGUUUUACCUUUAUGUGUGGAUGUAAGAUAGAUAAAAGCACUUAGGGGAUUGCAAGAGCUGGCUACCCUGGCAUACAGACUUUGCCAUUCACUUCGGUGCUUGUAAAGGUUAGAGGGACCAGCAAUGCACAUAGCCCAGGGCAUAGCCUGUGUCACUUGAGUCAAGUAUAAUCUUGUGGAACUCGUACCUUUCUGUAGGCCAAAUUUCAGUGUACUGGAGCUUGAGUUUAAUCUGCAUCUGCAAUUCUUUCACACUCCUGAAAUCCUUCGUCUAACGUAGAUGAUGAAAUGGAAAAGGUGGGGAUGCUUGAUAUCUUCUGACCACUACUUUAUGCAAGGUCUUCCUAAAUUGACAAAGCAUAUUGUCUUCUUAGUUAUCAAAGUAUUUAAUAUCAUUGUGACUUUGGAAGAGUAGGUAUUUCAUGGAUUUUUUUUGUAUAAUAAACUCAUCAAAGCUAUGUCGUCUUCUGGUGGCUGGUUAAGAUAUGCAACUAAUCGGCAUCUACAGCUUUGGUCAUAGUUGUCUCUAUCCAGGACCAUCACUAAAUCAGGCUGCUUUCAGAAAAAUUGUAUCAAAACUAAAAAAGGCUAAUGGAUCCUUUUACCUCUUCCCUAUACCAAUAGUCCUAAGAGCACUGACUAGUGUGAUGUGUGAGCCUGAAUGGCUUGAUGGAGUUGUAUAUGCACAGCCUUUGUUGUUUGGAUCAGGGAGGUAUACUAGUUUGUUUUACGUCUGGAAUCACGCUUUGGUUUGUAGUUGUCCAAACGUGUAUGUAGACACCCAGAUAUGCAUAUCUAAUUUCAAGUAGUUCAUUUUAAAGACUAAAUGUAAGUUUCAAUCAGAAUGGCAACGCAAGUAACACAGUAAAUCUGCUGUGUUAACGCAUUGGUGGCAUUAUAGCACCUUUGCUUUUCUGAGAAUAAUAUCGUUUUCUGAGGUGCUGUUUGUGAGGUAAUUUCCUUUAUUCACAAUAAAGAGUUAACUUAUUUCAAUGGUACUGUUUCCGAAUUAGGGAAGUGCUCUUUGUAUUGUAGUAAUAGUCACCCCAAUGCCUAAAUUUUCUCACGCACGUUUAUUGUAAAAGAACACUAUUAAACAGCAA